rnacentral:rRNA from 1 species
AUGCCCUAGUACGGCGAGUGAAGCGGCAACAGCUCAAAUUUGAAAGCUGGCUCCGGCCCGCGUUGUAAUUUGCAGAGGAUGCUUCUGGCGAGGUGCCUUCCGAGUUCCCUGGAACGGGACGCCAUAGAGGGUGAGAGCCCCGUAUGGAUGGACACCAAACCUGUGUGAAGCUCCUUCAACGAGUCGAGUAGUUUGGGAAUGCUGCUCUAAAUGGGAGGUAAAUCUCUUCUAAAGCUAAAUACCGGCCAGAGACCGAUAGCGCACAAGUAGAGUGAUCGAAAGAUGAAAAGCACCUUGAAAAGGGGGUUAAACAGUACGUGAAAUUGUUGAAAGGGAAGCGCUUGUGACCAGACUUGCGCCGGGCAGCUCAUCAGGGGUUCUCCCCUGUGCACUCUGCCCGGCUCAGGCCAGCAUCGGUUCUCGUGGGAGGAUAAGAACGGUAGGAACGUGGCCCCCCUCCGGGGGGGUGUUAUAGCCUGCCGUACGAUACUCCCGUGGGGACCGAGGUUCGCGCUCCGCAAGGAUGCUGGCGUAAUGGUCAUCAGCGACCCGUCUUAA